rnacentral:rRNA from 1 species
GAUGAACGCUAGCGGCAGGCCUAACACAUGCAAGUCGAGGGGUAACUAGAGUGAUAGCAAUAUUACUUUGGCUAGACCGGCGCACGGGUGCGUAACACGUAUGCAACCUACCUUAUACUGGGGAAUAACUUCGAGAAAUCGGCGCGAAUACCCCUUAACAUUGCGAAGAGGCCUCUCUUUGCAAUUAAAGCUCCGGCGGUAUAAGAAGGGCAUGCGUCCAAUGAGCUAGUUGGUGAGGUAACGGCUCACCAAGGCUACGAUUGGUGGGGGUUCUGAGAGGAUGAUCCCCCACACUGGUACUAAGACACGGACCAGACUCCUACGGGAGGCAGCAGUGAGGAAUAUUGCGCAAUGGACGCAAGUCUGACGCAGCCGUGCCGCGUGAAGGAUGACGGCCCUAUGGGUUGUAAACUGCUUUUGUACGGGAAUAAACCCUUCUACGUGUAGGAGGCUGAAGGUACCGUAAGAAUAAGCACCGGCUAACUCCGUGCCAGCCGCCGCCGUAAUAC